rnacentral:rRNA from 1 species
GAACCUGCGGAAGGAUCAUUAA